ACAAGCAGCGCCUCCGUCCUAUCCCCAUUCCCUGUUGCGUUCCUCCCUAUUGCAGCCGCGACGACCUCCAUCCCCCCUGCCACACCGCCUCUGCAGCGACGGCCGCCCUUCCCCUGCAUCCCCAUGGAUGGAGGCGGAGGCGCAGACCUCGGUACGGCAUGUUCCCGGAGUUGAUAGUCGACGCCCCUCCCUACCUCGCCCGCGACUGGUAUUUCGACGCAUCAGCUGAAUAGAAAUGACUGGACCAGAUUCUUUUUGCUGCUGAAUAAUCAUGGAGGGAAGAUCAAGCAGCCAAUCGGGUGAGAAACUGAGGAUAUAAAAGAGGAGGCAGAAGAAAAACUAAAAUUAAAAGAAGUACGGGGACUGGAGCAGAUUUUCAAAAUUGGUCAACAUGAAGCAAAAUCGGAGGAGAAAUACCAACUGUGAAUGGUGAUUGCACUCAAUCUUUCAUGUUGGUGAAGGAUUUGAGGUGGUCCGUGAAUGUUGGAACAGAUUGGCCAAAUGACUGAACAGAAGGAACAAGUGACCUGAUAUUAAAAGGAAUAACAUAGGUGUUGGUGGAAGGCACUUUAGUUGUAGGAGGCGGGGUUGCACUCUCAGUCGUACAAAAUGGCUUGUAAUAAAGUUCAAAAAGGUCGACGCCUCUUCUUAGAUGCUAGAUGGGCCUAUACUGGUGAGUUUCCAUAUUUUAACUUUAUUUUAAUGUUGCUUGCCUUUCUUCACUGUUUCGCUCCAUGAUGAACAUUGAAUAUUUAAACUUGAUUUGAUAGUUUAGUUUGGCCGUGGGGAUCAAACUGUAUACAUGGAUGUUUGGUACCAUAAUGAACUUUGCUACCGAGAUAUAAGAUGAGAGAUUCAGCAUAAACAUGAAAUUUUUCAAGUUUUCGGCUGCACCAAAUGGAGCUGAUAGCACACAGAACCAGCUUCUGAAGAUAGCCGGAGAGCCUCACACUAUUUUUAGCUUUUAGAAAUGACAAAUAACAAUCACACAUGCUUUAUGUUUAUCAUCAGCGGCACCAAAACUGUUGAGCACCAUGCACUGAAUGUUAAACAGGACAAGAACUUCCUGAACAUGAGAUUUUUAUUCAUUUUUGGACAGUCGAUAUGUCAACACUUCCCAAAUAAAUCACACUGAUAAACGACACUGAUAUAUGUUAGAUGUAUAUAUUGUAUAUUGUAGUUUCCCCAUAUGUUAGGGGGCUUCCUGCAUAAUUGCACUGUACUAUAUAUUGUGGCCUUUGGCCCCAGAUAAUACAAGUUGCUUAUUCCUAACAUGGUAUCAGAGCCCCAGGUCUCGAGUUCAAAUCUUGGCUUUCACAAUUUAUUCUAAAAAAUACCCGCAGCCU